CACACUCGUCGUAUUUCUCUAACGCCGCCACAAUGUCGCUGAAAUCCGGCCGCUUCGACGGAUUCGCUGCCCAACACCGUUUAAUGAGGUGGGCUAGUGCCGGCUGACAACUUGCCGGCAAUGGUGGUCUCUCAUUCUGCCCAAUUCAAUAUCAAAAUCAGCAUUACUUGUCGAAGGGGGAGUUUGAGAUUUGGUACCUUCUCGGCGACGGCAAAGGCAGCUUGCACGGGGGUCAUUCCUUGAAAGGGAAGCAGAGCCGUGGUGAGUUCCCACAGCACAAUCCCAAAGCUGUACACAUCAACUUUGCGAGUAUAAGGCUUCUCUUUGAUCAUCUCCGGCGCCAUCCAUCGGUAAGUUCCCAUGUUCCCUUUUGAUUCUUGGCACUGUGUCUCGAGACAGGAGGUUCCGAAAUCGGCUACUUUUACUCUCAUUUCAUCGUUUAGAAGCAAGUUGUUUGACUUGAGAUCUCUGUGGAUUACUCCUUGGGAAUGGAGGUAUUCCAUUCCUCUUGAUAUGUCUAGAGCUAACCUCAGUAUUGUUUCUGUGGAGAGUGAAUAUGGCUCUUUCUUGUUUAGAUACAUCCUCAGAGUUCCUUGUGACAUAUACUCUGUAAUUAUGCAGUAUACGGGUGGCUUUUUACAGGCUGCAAUGAACUGUACACCAAACAGCCAUGAAUUUAACAUUCUUAAAAACUUGUAUUUGUCAGUUCAUAUAUCAGAGAGAGAAAGUCUAUGGUUCUGUUGUAAGGAAUAACUGGGAAAGGUAGAUGAAAGGAAAUUAAAAGACUAGAAGGUUGAAAUUCUACCUGAACAAUGUUGGGAUGAAAGAGACGAGAAAGCAAGGCAACUUCGGACUUGAACUGUUGCUCGAGUUUGGCUCUUGUUUCCUCCUUUUGGUUUGGAAUUCUCACCAUCUUCACAGCAACGGCUCUCUGCUUGUAAAUUCCACGGUAUAUCCGACUGUGAGCGCCAGAGGCGAAUUUGUUACCAAUGAAGAGUUGAGAUAAAUCAGCUGUCCACUCUUCCUGAUCUUCCUUUGAUGUCUCCCAAGUUUCAACAUUUUCAGACUCUAGGAUCAUCGACCACGAUUCCAAACUAUCAAAUCUUCUCCUUUCCAUAUUUUCCAUUUCAGAAUUCAUCUGGGAUUUCAAAGAGGAAGGGGUUGAUAAGGGUUUGCUUUUUGAUUUACGAAUCCUAAGUGAACCGAAACAUGAGGUCGCCAUGAAGAUUCUAUACGUGAAUUGGACUUUGUCUAUACCAAACACAGGCUUGUUUUUUUUUUUUUUUUUUUUUUUAUGUCAAAGCAAACAAUCGUAAGGAAUUUUCCUUCUGAAAGUAUGAAUUGAUUUUAAGAAAUGCAUGAACUGAUUCAAAAACAUGGGUUCUAAAGAAGAAUGAUAAUUGGAUAUGGAUUUUCAUGAAUUUAUUGAAUCAAUGGUAGCAAGGACGAAGACCCAAAAGAAAACUUGGCAGAAAAAACACAAAGAACAGUUUUCCGCGUCAAGCAUUAACGCCUUUUGUAUAGUUAGGCAAAUGUUCAUGAAAAGACAGGGAACAUAUCAGAGAAAAAGCCAACCCUAAAGAUAGAACUUGGGAUUUCAUGGCUACAGGGAGUGGAAUCAAAGGGAGAAGAAAGAAAAGAAAGAAAGAAAGAAAGAAAGAAAAUUUUUGGAGGUAGAAGAGAGAAAAGGGUCUGAUUUUCACGGUUGUGUAUAAUGAUAAGGAGAAGGAUUAGGUCGUUUGGCAGUAGAAAGACAAUGAAAAGGUGCAGAUAGUUCAGAAGCGUCUCGUGAUUUGGCGUCUCUUUGAUCAAAAGUCGAACUUUUUAAAGAAGGAACCGCUUUAUUUGUUCUUCUUUUUUCAACUGAAUCCAGCUCCUCUGUUUCUGUUUCAUUUCCCAUCAUCAAUGCUAAGUGGCCGAAGUGGCAAAGCCUCAAUGGAUUAGCUUUCAACUCUUAAGAGAAAAUAAGCAUAUAUGCCAAUACCAAUCUUUUUUCCCUAAAAAAACAAAACAAAACAAAAUAAUAAUAAAUAAAAAACCCACAUUUUUUCUACAAGUGGCAGGCACACGUGGGCCAGGCUAAAGUGAAAAGGCAACCAUCUGAGCCGAGUCAAUAGUGAAGAACAUGGAGGUCUGUAGCUUAAUGCAAUGGAGAUUAGAUCCUGUGGUUCUUAGUUAGUGCUUGUCAAAUCCUUAUUCUCUUAGCUAUUGUUUACAACAACCGUGAUUUGUGUACUUUGAUUGCAAUUCUUGCAAUUACUUGUCUGUUGUUAUUUGUAUUCGUCGUUUUCUUUUUCUAGCUUUAAUCACAUUCUUAGUUUUGUACUAAAGUUGUCAGUAGCCAAUGUUGUCUUGUUAUUUAAUAACUUGUUUUGAAAUUCCUUCAACUCUUUCUUCUGCUGGACUGCUCGGCUCCUUUGAUUGUGGGACUCAUUCUUUACUUUGUUCGAUAGCUUUUGAAUUUUUGAAUUUGUUGUUUAUUCUAACUUAUCUUUUUACACACCCUCGGGCCUUGAUUUAAAAAUUGCUGUUAUUUAUUUGUUUUUAAUAUUAAUUUGUUAAAAGUCUCUUGAGUACUCUGUUUUGAUGCUUCAUUUUUUUUUCAAUGGGGGUUAGUGGUUCUGCUUUAUCUUCAAAUUUUGUUUAGUAUCGUCUUUGUUAAAUAUGUUAAAUAACGUGUGGUUUCAUCCAGAAACGGAUGAAACCAAUUGACAAACUUGCCCACUUUGAUUUUUUAAAACAUAUGGAAUUUGUUACAAAUUAAUGGUGUUAAAAUGUUUUGAAUUAAAAAAUAAGACAGACAAGUUAUUCCAGUCCUAAGGCCAUGGGUACAUUAUAAAACUAGGAAAUCAAUGAUUAGAGGAAUAAUGUAUGUCAACAUAUUGUGUACCAAAAUGUGUGGAAAGGACUGUGGCAACAACAUAAGAAUUAUUUUCUGUAUUUCAAAUAGUUUUGUCACAGUUGAAUAGCAUAAGUUCAGAGAGAAAUGGAGUUGGCCCAAUGACUUUUGAUAAUUUUUUUGAAAGGUAAGCAAGAAACGUCCAAAUUCAUCGUUUUUGUUUGAUAGCAAUCUAUUAAGCUCAUUUUUUUGUGUAGACUUGUAAUUCGAAUGAUACAUAUCAAUAUUGAUGUCCAACUCGGGAAGAUGUGAAACUAUCAAGACCUUUUUUUUCCCCCAAGAAGUUCUACCAUUUUAUUCGAGGGGAUUGAAUUUGAGUUUUGAAAAAAGGAGUUAGGAGUUUGUGUUGGGCAACAUUAAAGCCCAUGAGGCAGUCUUAGGCCCAAGGGAACCCUUGGAGUGUGCAAGUCUCAAAGCAAGAAGAUGGGUGUGUUUGGUUUCACAUUAGAGGAAAUGGUUGUGUCGAACUCAUUCUUCCACCUCAGCAACCACAAUAACUCAACCUAUGUCAGCACCAUGAGCAGUGUACAUAACUCAAGUGAAUGUCAUCCCAUGCCUUGACUUCAAUAAAUAUUCUCAUUCUUCCACCUCAUGAUUCAUCACUUUAACCACUAAGACAUUGGAGUGUACUGGAUUUGGUACCACACUAGCUUGAGUUUUCUUGUAGGUUUGUCAAACUAAAGCAAAAGAAAAAGAAAUUGUAAUAAAAGCUUGGACUCGUUCAUAUUCUACAAGAGUAGGAAAGAAAGGUUCUUUA